rnacentral:rRNA from 1 species
AGAGACAGCAGUCGCCGCGGGAAAACGUAGGUGGCAAGCGUUGUCCGGAAUUAUUGGGCGUAAAGGGCUCGCAGGCGGUUUCUUAAGUCUGAUGUGAAAGCCCCCGGCUCAACCGAGGAGGGUCAUUGGAAACUGGGAAACUUGAGUGCAGAAGAGGAGAGUGGAAUUCCACGUGUAGCGGUGAAAUGCGUAGAGGUGUGGAGGAACACCAGUGGCGAAGGCGACUCUCUGGUCUGUAACUGACGCUGAGGAGCGAAAGCGUGGGGAGCGAACAGGAUUAGAUACCCGCGUAGUCCCUGUCUCUUAUAC